AUUCAGUUGACGAGUCGUGAAUAGGAAGAAACGCGCGUCCUGGAU
rfam:Schistosoma haematobium scaffold3749_1, whole genome shotgun sequence.